UGGGGAAUUUUGCGCAAUGGGCGAAAGCCUGAUGCAGCGACGCCGCGUGUACGAUGAAGGCCUUUGGGUCGUAAAGUACUGUCAACGGGGACGAACGCCUCAGAUUGAAUAGGUCUGAGGUCUGACGGUACCCGUGGAGGAAGCACCGGCUAACUCUGUGCCAGCAGCCGCGGUAAUACAGAGGGUGCAAGCGUUAAUCGGAAUUACUGGGCGUAAAGCGCGCGUAGGCGGCUUAGUAAGUCGGAUGUGAAAGCCCUGGGCUCAACCUGGGAAUUCCAUUCGAUACUGCUGAGCUAGAGUAUGGUAGAGGGAAGUGGAAUUUCCGGUGUAGCGGUGAAAUGCGUAGAUAUCGGAAGGAACACCAGUGGCGAAGGCGACUUCCUGGGCCAAUACUGACGCUGAGGUGCGAAAGCGUGGGGAGCAAACAUGAUUAGAUACCCGCGUAGUCC
rnacentral:rRNA from 1 species